AGAAACCAACAGGGAUUGCCCUAGUAACGGCGAGUGAAGCGGCAUCAGCUCAAAUUUGAAAUCUGGCUCUUUCAGGGUCCGAGUUGUAAUUUGCAGAGGGAGCUUUCGAGUUGGCAGCGGUCUAAGUUCCUUGGAACAGGACGUCACAGAGGGUGAGAAUCCCGUACGUGGUCGCAGGCCUUCUCGAGGUAAAGCCCCUUCGACGAGUCGAGUUGUUUGGGAAUGCAGCUCUAAAUGGGAGGUAAAUUUCUUCUAAAGCUAAAUACUGGCCAGAGACCGAUAGCGCACAAGUAGAGUGAUCGAAAGAUGAAAAGCACUUUGGAAAGAGAGUCAAAUAGCACGUGAAAUUGUUGAAAGGGAAGCGCUUGCAGCCAGACUUGCCUGUAGUUGCUCAUCCGGGCUUUUGCCCGGUGCACUCUUCUAUAGGCAGGCCAGCAUCAGUUUGGGCGGUUGGAUAAAGGUCUCUGUCACGUACCUCCUCUCGGGGAGGCCUUAUAGGGGAGACGACAUGCAACCAGCCUGGACUGAGGUCCGCGCAUCUGCUAGGAUGCUGGCGUAAUGGCUGUAAGCGGCCCGUCUUGAAACACGGACCAAGGAGUCUAACAUCUAUGCGAGUGUUUGGGUGUCAAGCCCGAGCGCGCAAUGAAAGUGAACGGAGGUGGGAUCCCUUAAGGGGUGCACCAUCGACCGAUCCUGAAGUCUUCGGAUGGAUUUGAGUAAGAGCAUGGCUGUUGGGACCCGAAAGAUGGUGAACUAUGCUUGAAUAGGGUGAAGCCAGAGGAAACUCUGGUGGAGGCUCGCAGC
rnacentral:rRNA from 1 species